CUUUUGUUUAUUAAUGGAUUUACUCAUGCGUUUGUGUCUACUCAGAAACACCCAUUUCUUAAAGGAGUACUCCUUUGUCAUCAUUAUAUACUGUGAUGCUUAAAUUAUCCCAUAACAUGCCCGUGGGAGUACAUUCAAGUGGACCUGCUCUUCAUUUGUUAUCUGUCUAGAAUUCUGGAUUAUCUGACCACCCCUGGGAAGAAAGCCAAAAGCAAAUGCUUCUUGUCAGUGAUACUUUGUGUCCUCUGCCUAUCAAUGUCAGGUCUCUUCUAUGAGAAGAACAGCAGGACUGCAGAGAGAACACGCAGAAUGUUGACAAGAAGCUGACAUGAGCCCUUGUUUCCAGUAUGGUCUGGGUCAUUGGCUGUGCACACACAUCCACAGACAGUACAACAACAGCCUCUAGUCCCUUGUUGCUGACCUUUGGGAAGCUGGGCAUGUAAGAUAUAUGUCUUGAAAAAAGCAAUCAUUUUAGAGUCUAUUUCAGUCAGCAAUAAGAACAUCGGUUAUUUUUGGCUUUUGUUUUGUGUUUGGUAAGUUAUGUCCAUUUACAUUUUUUACAUUUAUUUGUCUGCCUAUUUUGUGUGUCUGGCAAGGCCAUACAUGAUCUACAGUGUACUUGUAGAGGUCAGAGGACAACUUGCAGGAGUCAUUUCUCUGCUUCCACAAUGUGGGUCCUUGGGAUCCAACUGAAGUCAUCAGAAGCAGUACUCGGGCUUCUAUUACACUUUAAUACGAUCUACAUAUAAGAACAGGGGAGAAAACAGUGAACUUUCCAUGCAGAACCAACUCCUGGAGAAGAACCAAAAGUGGUGUGGUCUGUUCAGCCUGUUACCUGAGCAACAGUGACAAGAUCAUGUGGGACUCACCAGGUCAGUCAUUUCCUUUUCUCUUCCCAUCCGUGUGACCAGCAGCUGGUCUGUGAUGCCUUGUAGGAACACAUCCUGUUGAGCAGGUAGCAGCAAGAGCAG